rnacentral:rRNA from 1 species
GAUGAACGCUGGCGGCGUGCCUAAUACAUGCAAGUCGAGCGAACGGAUGAGAAGCUUGCUUCUCUGAUGUUAGCGGCGGACGGGUGAGUAACACGUGGAUAACCUACCUAUAAGACUGGGAUAACUUCGGGAAACCGGAGCUAAUACCGGAUAAUAUUUUGAACCGCAUGGUUCAAAAGUGAAAGACGGUCUUGCUGUCACUUAUAGAUGGAUCCGCGCUGCAUUAGCUAGUUGGUAAGGUAACGGCUUACCAAGGCAACGAUGCAUAGCCGACCUGAGAGGGUGAUCGGCCACACUGGAACUGAGACACGGUCCAGACUCCUACGGGAGGCAGCAGUAGGGAAUCUUCCGCAAGGGGCGAAAGCCUGACGGAGCAACGCCGCGUGAGUGAUGAAGGUCUUCGGAUCGUAAAACUCUGUUAUUAGGGAAGAACAUAUGUGUAAGUAACUGUGCACAUCUUGACGGUACCUAAUCAGAAAGCCACGGCUAACUACGUG